ACUGAAUAAUUCAUUUUGAGUGUCCCCCUUGGCGCAAUAGCCUUUGGGGAAGGAUAGGGAAUCGGGUGAAAAUCCCGGCGGUACCGCCGCUGUAAGCGCCGAGGCCGCGUUCGUCGACGAAAGUCGGUCACUGGGAAACUGGGAAGGCAGAACGCAGCCGCAGGAGAAACCUCCGUAAGCGUAAGCCAGAAGACCUGCUUGGAAUUGCUCUGGCCG
rnacentral:ncRNA from 2 species